rnacentral:rRNA from 1 species
GUAAGGAAUAUUGCGCAAUGGGCGAAAGCCUGACGCAGCGACGCCGCGUGGGGGAUGAAGGUCUUCGGAUUGUAAACCCCUUUCGGGAGGGAAGAUGGAGUGGGGUAACCCAUUCGGACGGUACCUCCAGAAGCAGCCACGGCUAACUUCGUGCCAGCAGCCGCGGUAAUACGAAGGUGGCAAGCGUUGUUCGGAUUUACUGGGCGUACAGGGAGCGUAGGCGGUUCGGUAAGCCCUCUGUGAAAUCUCCAGGCUUAACCUGGAACAGUCGGAGGGGACUGCCGGGCUAGAGGACGGGAGAGGAGCGCGGAAUUCCCGGUGUAGCGGUGAAAUGCGUAGAGAUCGGGAGGAAGGCCGGUGGCGAAGGCGGCGCUCUGGAACGUUUCUGACGCUGAGGCUCGAAAGCGUGGGGAGCAAACAGGAUUAGAAACCCGAGUAGUCC